AUUAUAGUUUUUUUAAUUUAUUAAAAACAUAUGAUCUUCAAUUAAUUGUACUAAAAAAAACAUAUAUAAAUUCUAUAAAAAAUCAAUAAAGUUUAAUAUUAAAUUUAAUUAAAAAUAAUUAAACUUUGAGUUAAUAUAAUAGAUGAUUAUAUUACUUAAAUCAAUAAAAAUAAGUAGAAGAUAGGUAGAGACAUGUCAGAUAAAUGAUGUCUU
rnacentral:lncRNA from 1 species